rnacentral:rRNA from 1 species
ACGGAGAUUUCAGCAAUGGAAUCUUAGUGGCGAACGGGUGAGUAACGCGUAGACAACCUGCCUUUGAGAUGGGGACAACACCGCGAAAGUGGUGCUAAUACCGAAUGUUGUAUCGGUGAUGCAUAUUGCUGAUACUAAAGAUGGCCUCUAUUUAUAAGCUAUCGCUCGAAGAUGGGUCUGCGUCUGAUUAGCUAGUUGGUGGGGUAAUGGCUCACCAAGGCGACGAUCAGUAGCCGGUCUGAGAGGAUGAACGGCCACACUGGGACUGAGACACGGCCCAGACUCCUACGGGAGGCAGCAGUGGGGAAUCUUCCGCAAUGGACGAAAGUCUGACGGAGCAACGCCGCGUGAGUGAAGAAGGUUUUCGGAUCGUAAAACUCUGUUUUCAGGGACGAAUGUGCAGUGUGUAAAUAAUGCAUUGUAAUGACGGUACCUGAGUAGAAAGCCACGGCUAACUACGUGCCAGCAGCCGCGGUAAU